rnacentral:rRNA from 1 species
CUAGCGACUUCAGAGUUUGAUCCUGGCUCAGGAUGAACGCUGGCGGCGUGCUUAACACAUGCAAGUCGAGCGAGAAACUUACAGAUGACGCUUCGGUUGAUUCAGUAAGCGGAAAGCGGCGGACGGGUGAGUAACGCGUAGGCAACCUGCCCCUGGCAGAGGGAUAGCAUCGGGAAACUGAUAUUAAGACCUCAUAACGCAUCCACAUCACAUGAUGAGGAUGCCAAAGAUUUAUCGGCAAGGGAUGGGCCUGCGUCUGAUUAGUUAGUUGGUGAGGUAACGGCUCACCAAGGCAGCGAUCAGUAGCCGACCUGAGAGGGUGAUCGGCCACAUUGGAACUGAGACACGGUCCAG